GGGUUGUGAGGUUAAGCGACUAAGCGUACACGGUGGAUGCCCUGGCAGUCAGAGGCGAUGAAGGGCGUGCUAAUCUGCGAUAAGCGCCGGUAAGGUGAUAUGAACCGUUAUAACCGGCGAUACCCGAAUGGGGAAACCCAGUGUGAUUCGUCACACUAUCAUUAACUGAAUCCAUAGGUUAAUGAGGCGAACCGGGGGAACUGAAACAUCUAAGUACCCCGAGGAAAAGAAAUCAACCGAGAUUCCCCCAGUAGCGGCGAGCGAACGGGGAGGAGCCCAGAGCCUGAAUCAGCAUGUGUGUUAGUGGAAGCGUCUGGAAAGGCGCGCGAUACAGGGUGACAGCCCCGUACACAAAAGCGCAUGUGCUGUGAGCUCGAUGAGUAGGGCGGGACACGUGGUAUCCUGUCUGAAUAUGGGGGGACCAUCCUCCAAGGCUAAAUACUCCUGACUGACCGAUAGUGAACCAGUACCGUGAGGGAAAGGCGAAAAGAACCCCGGCGAGGGGAGUGAAAAAGAACCUGAAACCGUGUACGUACAAGCAGUGGGAGCACAGGUUUACCUGUGUGACUGCGUACCUUUUGUAUAAUGGGUCAGCGACUUAUAUUCUGUAGCAAGGUUAACCGAAUAGGGGAGCCGGAGGGAAACCGAGUCUUAAUUGGGCGUUAAGUUGCAGGGUAUAGACCCGAAACCCGGUGAUCUAGCCAUGGGCAGGUUGAAGGUUGGGUAACACUAACUGGAGGACCGAACCGACUAAUGUUGAAAAAUUAGCGGAUGACCUGUGGCUGGGGGUGAAAGGCCAAUCAAACCGGGAGAUAGCUGGUUCUCCCCGAAAGCUAUUUAGGUAGCGCCUCGUGAAUUCAUCUCCGGGGGUAGAGCACUGUUUCGGCUAGGGGGCCAUCCCGGCUUACCAACCCGAUGCAAACUGCGAAUACCGGAGAAUGUUAUCACGGGAGACACACGGCGGGUGCUAACGUCCGUCGUGAAGAGGGAAACAACCCAGACCGCCAGCUAAGGUCCCAAAGUCAUGGUUAAGUGGGAAACGAUGUGGGAAGGCCCAGACAGCCAGGAUGUUGGCUUAGAAGCAGCCAUCAUUUAAAGAAAGCGUAAUAGCUCACUGGUCGAGUCGGCCUGCGCGGAAGAUGUAACGGGGCUAAACCAU
rnacentral:rRNA from 6 species